CGAUGGUGGUUCGAGAGGUGGCAGAUUGCCCCAAUUACCGAGCGGUGGUUUUCUUUGGAAGCAUGUUGCGAAAAGUAGGUCCUUCCUCUAUCUGUUGCUGUUUGUUUUGGCUAGGUUGGAAGGCGGACGCCUGGUCCUUGCGCAGGAAGUGCUGGAGUGAUCUACAAAAGAAGUCCGAGUAAGAGAUUUUAGCUCAUGUGAGGAUCCUCUAAUGCUCAAGUUAGAUUCAAAAAAUAAAGAAAGCAACAACGAGUUCUCUGAGAAAGAUUGCUUACCUGAGACCUCG
rnacentral:lncRNA from 1 species